GCCAGGCAUGGUGGCGUGUGCCUGUAAUCCCAGCUACUCAGGAGGCUGAGGCAGGAGAAUUGCUUGAACCCAGGAAGCGGAGGUUGCAGUGAGCCAAGAUCACCCCACUGUACUCCAGCCUGGGUGACAGAGUGGGACUCUGUCUCAA
rnacentral:SRP_RNA from 1 species